rnacentral:lncRNA from 1 species
CUUAGUAGACCUCAUCUUACCCACGUGAUGAAGUUUAAUAUCACCAGCAAUGAGAGAAAUCUAGAUCAUGUGCCUUCUGGUAUGAUGCUCUGAGGACACAGUACCCAAAACGCAUUACCUUAAUCUAAUCACGAAGAAACAUUAGAUAAUCCCAAAUUGAAGGACAUCCUAUAAAAGAACUGGUCUCUCAUCUCCAAAAAGUCAGUCUUAUGAAACACAAAGAGGACAAUAAGCACAAGAAAAGAUAUUCAACAUCAUUAGCCAUUAGGAAAAUGCAAAUCAAAACCACAGUGAAAUAUCAUUUCAUACACACUAGGAUGGCUGUAAUAAAAAAAAGAGGGGCAGACUGGGCACUCUGAGGCAGCCAUGCCCUCCUCCCAGCCUGGGAACACCAAGCUACCGCCUGUGGUCAGGGACCUAUAUAAGAAAGUCAAGUAGACACCAUUACCAACAUCCUAAGUCAUUUCUAGGGCUGGAAAAGGGAGGGGAGGCCUGCCACAGACCUCCCUUUCCCCACCUGUCCAGCUCACUCUGGGGCCUUCAGCACCCCUGUCCUGCACAGUCCGGGGGUGUCCUUAUCUUUUUACUCUCAAUGUUCAGACAGUACUGUGUUGGCUCACAGCGCACCCUCCUAAACCAGCUGUAGGUGGCUGUGGAACAAGGUUCUCUAUAAGGUGCUCCUGGCAUCCUGAGAGGCA